AACCUAAAAAAUUUCUGCACCCAAAACAAACCUAAAACUAAAAUAAAAAACGAAAUCAACUCGCCAACCAAAUCACCGUGAGACAGCUUCACCUCGCCAGCCAAAUCACCGUGAGACAGCUUCACCUCGCCAGCCAAAUCACCGUGAGACAGCUUCACCUCGCCAGCCAAAUCACCAUGAGAAAGCUUCAACUCACCAGCCACCGCGCAACCGGAAAAGCUUUGCUCACCAGCCACCGCGCAUCAUCUUCUGAUCUGCUCGCCGGCCACCGUCCGACAGCUUCUGAUCUGCUCGCCAGCCACCACGCGACGGCUUCUGAUCUGCUCGCGCAGCCAGCCACCGUGCACCAGUAGGAGUAAAGUCCUCGUUACUCCAUACACUUUAUUAUAACAUUUGCAUAAAUUGCAUUUAGUAAUGCAUUUAGUAAGUCCCCGUUAAAUGACUGUUAUUGCUUUAAUUUUUUAUAUAAUUUUUUUAAGUGAAAACACUUUUACAACAUGAUUAGAAUUAAAUAUUUUCAGAAAUCCAAAUCUAAUCCACUAGGAAAGAUAAUAACAAUUACGAAUAUUAAGUUCCAUAAUAUGGCCAUAUUUAGAUUUUAUUUUGAUAUUAUGAUUGUUAUAAUUUUGUAAGAUGGAGGACAAUGUUGGCGAAGUACAAAAGGCUAAUAAUGAAGUGCAAAUGACAGUUGAUUGAUGUUGCUGACCAGUAAGUUUUCUUUUUUUUAAAAAAACUAAUAUCUUAUUUAUAUAGAUUGUUUAUAUAAUUAUUUAUUGUUUUAAAAUUUUUUUUAUAGAUCCAAAUAUUGAUUUGGAAAAUGCCUAAAGUUGAUGUUGAUAUUGAUGAAGAUGGGAGAAUGUUGUUGGCAUUUGUUUGCAAUUUUUUUUUUUUUGGUGAAGAUGGGAGAAUCUUGUUGGCGUUUGUUUCCAAAUUUUCUUUUUAUUUUGUGUUGUAAGUUGUAAUUGUUGUUAUUUUUAUUUAUCUUUACAACAUUAUGAUUAUGUUUAUGUAGAUGGAGUUUGGAGUUUGGUUAUGUAUUUUGAAAUCUUAAUAUUUCAUAUUUUGUGAGUACCUUAUUAGUAGUUAGUAAGAUAUUAGUGAUAAAAUGUGUUUUGAAUACUUUGUAUUUAUUGUUAAUAUUUGUAAUGAAACUAGGAUGAACUAAUUGUUGAAAAA
rnacentral:lncRNA from 1 species